UAACCGCUGAGCCAUCUCUCCAGCCCUACAAAUUCUUUUCUUAUUUCUAUACUUAGGGUGUGGCAUAUGUAUGUCAGACACCAGCAGUAUAUAAAAUGUUAAACCAAAUAAGGAUCAAUGAUGCCACUUGAAGCUCAAAGCAUCCUUGGGUUUUAUCUCUAAAACUCACAUAGUUGAAGUAGAUAAUAGACAUCUGUGAGGUGUUUUCUCACUGCUACCUACACCCAUGGCACAGGUGUAUAUCCACAAACACAGUUGAAACAUUUUUACAUGGAGGGAUUACAAAGGAAAGAACCCAGUUUUUGAGAAUACAUGAAAUGAUUUGCCAGUUUAACUUAUUGUUAUAAAAUAUCAGUACAUAUUACCGAACAUCAAAAGUAUGAGGUUUCCUUUUUAAAUCUUAGUUUAUCAUUCAUCCAUUCUUUGAUUCAAAUGUAAGACAUAGGAAAACCUCAGUGUGUCUUCGAGGUACAUACCUGUAAGUCCAGGACAUGGGCACGGUGGCAGUCCAGUCUCUGCGCUUUAGACCAUGGUUGUGUACAUAGAGAGUUCUUGGACAGCCGUCCUAUAGAAUGACAUCUGUAUCUAGAUGAAAGAGCAAACCUCCUUUUACUGAAAGUCCCUAAAACAAUGUGCCUGGCUUCUGGACUUAUUUGGCAGCAUUGGGAGCCCACAGCAAUGCCUGGGAGGUAAACCUCUGAUGUAAUUUAUGCUUCCUGUAGGGAGAGAAAAGGAACAUGUAUGUAUGAAGAUUUGUUUGCUGAAUGGGAUUGUAUUCUGAUUCCUUGAUGCCUGCAAAACUUACAGUUAGGAACUCUGAGUGGUGGUGACUCUCGGUGACAUCAAGGCUGUCCUCAGGGGACGAUGGACCUCAAACAGAAGUCACUCUCAUAAGUCUGUGGAAGUCAAGCCUUUAGAAAGAAUCAUGGAGUAUGGAUGAACUAUUGGGGGUAGGGCUUUGGAUGUAAAA
rnacentral:sRNA from 1 species